rnacentral:rRNA from 1 species
AACGAACGCUGGCGGCAUGCCUAACACAUGCAAGUCGAACGAGACCUUCGGGUCUAGUGGCGCACGGGUGCGUAACGCGUGGGAACCUGCCUUUAGGUUCGGAAUAACUCAGAGAAAUUUGAGCUGAUACCGGAUGAUGUCUUCGGACCAAAGAUUUAUCGCCUUUAGAUGGGCCCGCGUUGGAUUAGCUAGUUGGUGGGGUAAAGGCCUACCAAGGCGACGAUCCAUAGCUGGUCUGAGAGGAUGAUCAGCCACACUGGGACUGAGACACGGCCCAGACUCCUACGGGAGGCAGCAGUGGGGAAUAUUGGACAAUGGGCGAAAGCCUGAUCCAGCAAUGCCGCGUGAGUGAUGAAGGCCUUAGGGUUGUAAAGCUCUUUUACCCGAGAUGAUAAUGACAGUAUCGGGAGAAUAAGCUCCGGCUAACUCCGUG